AUGGAGCCUCAUCCAAAUAGAAAAGAAUAUUUUAUAAAAUAUAAACAUUUAAAUAUCGAUGAUUUAAAAGAGGAGGCUGCUGACUUGCAGAAUGAUUACCUUAAAAACACAAAAACCUCUGAAUAUCCCAAACCAGAAUUUUAUGUGUCUCAUCUAAAACACGACACAGGCCCAAAAGCUUUACGUGAGAUAAAGGAUGAAGGCCUCAAGGAUCCAUCCAAUAAUGACAGUCUGUCCCUGGUGUGGUGGAGUCUGGCUGUGCGACCAGAAGAGAUCCAAUCAGCUGAGAGGAGGCUCCUGGAGGAGACCUUCCCAAACCGGACCAAGGAGCAGGCCCAGAGGCAGCAAAGCUUCCUGUUGAAGUUUGCCUCCUCUCCAGCCUUCAGUGAGAAGUCCAGAUAUGGAUCGUACCGCUUCACCUUCACAGUGAAUGAGGUGCUGGAGGCCUACAGACAGCAGAUUUGCAACGACAUGCAGCCCGUCAUGCGGGUCUUCAAGACCUCCUUGUACAAAAAGGAAGUGAUGUAUGUGGUGCUGGUCCACAGCCCAAAUGAUAACAACAAUAAGAUCUAUAACUUCGAACAGUAUCCCAUCCUGCCUGAUGAGCCGAACCCCAUCUGUGCUUACAAAGAUGGAUGCUUCAUCUGGAGACCACAGGCCAUGUGCGGGGAAAAAAGGUAUACGUAUAAAAUAGACGAGGUCAACAACCUGGCAGAGGUUAAAGGGCCGUUUGAAAAGCCUUACUGUGUCUGGGAUCACGUCGUCCUUGCCCUGCAUGUGAAGAGCGGACAGGUCUCACUCUCUUGGAAAGAAACAGACCACGAGAUGAUUAAAUGGAGUGUGAAGACUCCCUGCAGCGAGACAGCAUCCUUAGUUUGA
rnacentral:lncRNA from 1 species